AUUGAACGCUGGCGGAAUGCUUUACACAUGCAAGUCGAACGGCAGCACGGGAGCUUGCUCCUGGUGGCGAGUGGCGAACGGGUGAGUAAUGCGUCGGAACGUACCGAGUAAUGGGGGAUAACGCAGCGAAAGCUGUGCUAAUACCGCAUACGCCCUGAGGGGGAAAGUGGGGGAUCGCAAGACCUCACGUUAUUCGAGCGGCCGACGUCUGAUUAGCUAGUUGGUGGGGUAAAGGCCUACCAAGGCGACGAUCAGUAGCGGGUCUGAGAGGAUGAUCCGCCACACUGGAACUGAGACACGGUCCAGACUCCUACGGGAGGCAGCAGUGGGGAAUUUUGGACAAUGGGGGCAACCCUGAUCCAGCCAUUCCGCGUGAGGGAAGAAGGUCCUCUGGAUUGUAAACCUCUUUUGGCAGGAAACAAACCUGCGCUAUACGCGCAGCUGAGGGUACCUGCAGAAUAAGCACCGGCUAACUCCGUGCCAGCAGCCGACGG
rnacentral:rRNA from 1 species